GGAUAACGAGGAGAUUAUUCACUGAACCGUGUUUUAGCGAUUAAACUUCUUUGUGUGUUUACAGAGCACACGCAAAACUGAAUGUAUGAAAAGAAUGGGAUUCUGGGACUGCGCAGGUCAGUGUUUAAGCACCAGAGGCCUGUAAAGUUUUGCACAUGCGUCAUAUGUUUCCCUGUCCCCCCCCAAAAAAGAGAAUUCAUUCUGUACAGACAGCUCAUUUUGUGUUCUCAUACCGAUACACGAGUCACCUCUCCUCCUUUUUCCUUUUGUGGUGAUGAAUCGCAGAGCUGGCACUGAAUGUAAGAAUUAUAUGCUGUGUGUCGUUGAGGAUUCUGGGAAAAUGCUGGGGUUUUUUUUUGUAUUUUUUUUCUUGAAACCAAAGUCAG